AUGGAUCCCCUUCCCAUAUACACAAUCAUCUGCCUUGUUUGUUGGUCAUUUUGUUUAUUGCCAUUUUAUGCAUCAUCCAGCAGCCGCCUUCUUCCCGACAAGCCGCUUUCCGCUGGUAGCACCAUCACCUCCGACGAUGGCACUUUUGCCCUUGGAUUCUUCUCCCUGUCCAGCUCCAGCACAAAAUAUUACUACGUCGGCAUAUGGUACAGGAAUAUACCCGAAGACAACAUUGUGUGGGUUGCCAACCGUGCUAUGCCGAUAACUGAUCCUUCUUCUGCAACGCUCGCCUUCACAAGCGGAUCCGAUCUCGCCUUGUCAGACACCAGUGGCCAGCUUCUCUGGACGACAAACAUCAGCGCUGCAAGGAAUUCAUCGUCAGAGGCAACUGGUGGAGAAGCCACGCUUGAUAACAAUGGGAAUUUUAUUCUUCGGUCAUCAAAUGGCACCAUCUUAUGGCAAAGCUUCGAUUACCCGACCGACACUCUCCUUCCAGGUAUGAACCUCAGGAUCACCCACAAGACGCAUGCACUACAACAGCUCAUCUCUUGGAGAAACCCCCAAGACCCAUCCCCGGGCAACUUCUCAUAUGGUGCAGACCCUGAUGAGUUUCGGCAGCGUAUUACAUGGAACGGAUCAGCACCCUACCGGCGAAGUCUGGUAUGGAAUAACAAUUUGGUAGUAGGGAAGUAUGUUGAGAGUAUCAAGUCCACAAUUUACUAUACACUGCAAAUUAUUGGUGAUGAGAUCUACGCUUCCUUUGGACUACCAGUACCUAGUGUCUCACUAGUGCUAAUGAAGAUUGACUACUCAGGCAGGAUAAAGACACGAAUCUGGAAUAGCAACAGCUCCAAAUGGACUGACCAGUAUUCAGGACCUAACCAGGAAUGCAACAAAUUUGGUUACUGUGGUCCAUUUGGUUACUGUGACAACACACAGCCUAUUGUGACAUGCAAGUGUCUUGAUGGCUUUGAGCCAAACAACAAACAAGACUGGACGACCCGCAGGUUUUCACAGGGAUGCCACCGGAUGGAAGCACUAAGAUGUGGUCAAGGGGAUGGCUUCUUAAAUAUGUCAACCAUGAAGAUUCCCGACCAGUUCUUGUAUGUCAAGAAUAAAAGCUUAGAUGAAUGCAUAGCAGAAUGCACAAGCAACUGCUCAUGUACGGCGUAUGCUUACACCACUAUGAGAACUAAUGCUAUCGAUGAGGAUGAUACUAGGUGCCUAUUAUGGAUAGGAGAUUUGAUUGACACGGAGAAGUUCAUUGGACAAGGGGAAAACCUCUAUAUCCGAGUUAGUGGAUUGAGUGACAAAAAGCGGAAGAGCAAUGUUUUAAAAAUUACACUGCCAGUCGUUUCAAGUUUGCUCAUAAUCAUAUGCGUGUGCCUUGUUCGGAUCUGCAGCUUUGGAGGCAAACAAAGAAACAAGAAAAUUUGGAAGAAGCUGAUGUCGGGAACUUCAAGCACUUCUAUUGAACUUCGUGAUGGAAACUUAAAGUAUCCUUUUAUUAACUUCAAAGAAAUUGUACUUGCAACAAACAAUUUUUCUAACUCCAACAUGCUUGGACAUGGAGGUUUUGGCAAUGUUUACAAGGCGACAUUAGAAGAUGGUACAGAACUUGCUGUGAAAAGGCUUAGUAAGGGUUCUGGACAGGGGGAACUGGAGUUCAGAAAUGAAGUAAUACUCAUUGCGAAGUUGCAGCACAAAAACUUGGUUAGACUUCUCGGUUUCUGCAUCCACGGAGAUGAGAAACUAUUGAUAUAUGAAUACUUACCUAACAAAAGUCUGGACGCCAUGCUUUUUGAUGCCACAAGAAAAUCAAUGCUUGAUUGGCCAAUAAGAUUCGAGAUAACCAAAGGGGUAGCUAGAGGACUUCUUUAUCUUCAUCAAGAUUCAAGAUUGAAGAUAAUUCACAGGGAUCUCAAAGCAAGCAACAUAUUACUAGAUGGCGAAAUGAGCCCUAAGAUAUCUGAUUUUGGUAUGGCAAGGAUAUUUGGCGGCAAUCAGCAGCAAGAAAAUACCGACCGCGUUGUUGGCACAUACGGUUACAUGCCACCUGAAUAUGUUUUGAAAGGAGUGUUUUCUGUCAAGUCUGAUGUAUAUAGCUUUGGAGUUUUACUACUGGAGAUUGUGAGUGGCUCAAAGAUCAGCUCUGUGCACCUAAAAGCAGACUUCCCCAGCAUUAUAGCCUAUGCAUGGAGCUUAUGGAAGGAUGGGAACACAAAGGAUUUUGUUGACUCAUCGAUUGUGGACAGCUGCUCACUUAAUGAAACUAUACGGUGCGUCCAUAUCGGUCUCUUGUGUGUUCAAGGCAGCCCAAAUGCGCGGCCACUCGUGUCGUCAAUCAUGUCCUUUCUGGAGAAUGGAGAUAUAUCACUUCCCCCUCCAAAAGAGCCUGUGUAUUUUGCAGAAGAUAACUAUGGUACUGACGGAGCAGCAGAAAAUGCUGUGAAUUCUAAAAAUAACAUGAGCGUUACAGCAAUAGAGGGACGCUAG
rnacentral:rRNA from 1 species